rnacentral:lncRNA from 1 species
GCCAAUAAUUUAUUAAAUGUUGUUGUGAAACUUAGAACAUUGAAAGGCCUUUUACAGUCUCUUCAGGAAAAUGUUCAAGAGUAUCAAGACCUUAAUCAACACUAUAAUCUAAACAAAUAGCUACACCAUAUUGACGUGGGAGAUGAAGGUGAACGCUACUCUGUCUAAACAAACUUAGUGCAUAUGACCCCAAUCACUCCAGAAGGUCCAAGGGUCUAAUAAAUUCAAAUAAAACUGAGCUAAGAAUUAUUACACGGUUCUUGACAACAAAAUUAGAACCACUUAGUGGAUGCAGAUUAUGUAAAAGGAGAAAGAACUUCCCGAACGCCUACUUACUGUAUAAAAGGUUGUCAGCAAAAGUCGUGUUAUAUGAAUUUUCAGAAGAAGCGAUACCAUCUCAGAAACAAUCACAACUACUAGCUUUAUCAAAACCCUGGACUGUACAAGUGGUUCUUGAGUUGUGCGAGAUAACAAUUUUCGGAAGUCGGUAGGAUCUGUCAACGCUAUUAGAACAGGAGAAUUUCCACUAGUAGCGGCGGAUUCCAUCCCUUAACAGAAGAACCUGCCAAGAGAAGUCUAACUGGGACGUCUUCAAGAAGAACAAAAGCAUUUUAACCACCUGGCAGUCGAACGAGAACAAGGCUCUCAUGGAGUAUUAUUUUUUAUGCCUACAACAAGCAAUGAAUGGAAAAAAAUACAAAGCAAUUUUCUUCUUCAUUGGAAUUUCCCGAGAUGUUAUGGAGCGAUUGAUGGCAAGCACGUUCUGA